rnacentral:rRNA from 1 species
AUUGAACGCUGGCGGCAGGCCUAACACAUGCAAGUCGAGCGGAUGAAGGGAGCUUGCUUCUGGAUUCAGCGGCGGACGGGUGAGUAAUGCAUAGGAAUCUGCCUGGUCGUGGGGGAUAACGUCCGGAAACGGGCGAUAAUACCGCAUACGUCCUGAGGGAGAAAGUGGGGGAUCUUCGGAACUCACGCUAUCAGAUGAGCCUAGGUCGGAUUAGCUAGUUGGUGGGGUAAAGGCCUACCAAGGCGACGAUCCGUAACUGGUCUGAGAGGAGGAUCAGUCACACUGGAUCUGAACCACGGUCCAGACUCCUACGGGAGGCAACAGUGGAGAAUAUAAUACAAUGCGCGGAACCCUGGUCCAGCCAUGCCGCGUAUGUGAAGAAGUUCUUCGGAUUGUAAAGCACUUUAAGUUGGGAGGAAGGGCAGUAAGUUAAUACCUUGCUGUUUUGACGUUACCAACAGAAUAAGCACCGGCUAACUUCGUG